rnacentral:misc_RNA from 1 species
UACGGAGGGUGCGAGCGUUAAUCGGAAUUACUGGGCGUAAAGCGUGCGUAGGCGGCUUGAUAAGCCGGUUGUGAAAGCCCCGGGCUCAACCUGGGGACGGCAUCCGGAACUGUCGGGCCAGAGUGCAGGAGAGGACGGUAGAAUUCCCGGUGUAGCGGUGAAAUGCGUAGAGAUCGGGAGGAAUACCAGUGGCGAAGGCGGCCUUCUGGACUGACACUGACGCUGAGGCGCGAAAGCGUGGGGAGCAAACAGG